UAACGUUUUCCUUCGCUUCGCUCGUUUCAUUUUUGCCGGCUCGAUGAUAACGAUGAGAGGGAGCAGGCCUCUCUACUGCCACAGCGGCGGUGGCGGCGCUCCAGCUCCCUCACUGUUUUCCCCUUCUCCAAAUCACACAGCUCGCCGGACCCGGUGCCUCUCCGUUUCCACUGCCGUGCCGGAAGUCUCGGACCAGCCCUCCGCGUUGCCACUCUCCCUCCGCCGCCGGCUUAUUCUCCUCCGUCACGCUGCGAGCAGGCUCAGCGACCGGCUCACUAAAGAUCAUGAUCGCCCAUUGAGUAAAGCAGGCAGAAAUGAUGCAAUAAGCAUCUCCAACAAGCUUCAGCAGAUGGGCUGGAUACCUGAGCUCAUUCUGUCAAGUGAUGCUGCCAGAACAAAGGAAACUCUUCAAAUCAUGCAAGAGAAUGCACAGGGAUUCUCUGAAGCAGAGGUAUAUUUCAUGCCAAGCUUUUAUCCUAUAGCAGCCAUGGACGGCCAGACAGCGGAGCACCUUCAGAAGGCUAUUUGUGAAUAUUCAAGGGAUGAGAUCCUUACAGUGAUGUGCAUGGGGCACAAUAGAGGCUGGGAGGAAGCAGCAUCAAUAUUCUCUGGUGCAGUGGUAGAACUUAAGACUUGCAAUGCAGCUUUACUUGAAUCUAAGGGAAAAUCAUGGGAGGAGGAUAUACAAAAGCCAAAAGUAGUGAUAUGAAGGCAUCGUUACUGUUAAUAUCUCUUCUCUCUGAAAUUGUUCUCUAAUGAUGCAACUGUGGAAUUUGCAUACCUGAAUGCAAUAUUGGCUUUUGCACAAGCUGGCCUGGGGGGGUGGAGGCUACAUGAAGUGGUGACACCUUAAAUUCACGGACACCACAGAGAAUCCUGUUUAGUGAAACUCGAACCCAUUCAUCUUUCUCGGCAGUUAUCAGUGAGAGCAAUUUGUUGUUGCACUUCUCCGCCGAGGGCUUCAUCUUGAAAAUGAAAUCUGAUAUGAAAUAUUCUGAUGUGCUAUGUUUUCAUAUAUGCUAUUGUUGAGCCUUGUAGCAAAAACCAGGACAAGAAGAUUGUAUGCUUGUUGUAAAAAGUUUGAGGAAAUUAUUUAACCAGUUAAGUAAAAUUCUUAUGA